rnacentral:lncRNA from 1 species
ACAAAAAACUUAAGAUAUUCUACCUAGAUUUAUUGAAUAUUCACUUUAGUACCCUUUAAUUUUAACUUUGUCACUGAUUUAAUAAAAAAAUUAAUAGAAUGGAUAAUAAAAAGAGAAAAAUGAAACCAAAUGGUACUAAGUUGAUACACUUUAAACCACAGAGUACUAAAGUGAGAAAGUGCGAAACCACAGGGGCUAACUUAAUACACUUUAAACCGCAUGAUACUAAGCGAGAAAGUGUGAAACCACAAGGGGGUAUUUGAAGUUUACCCUUUAUUAUUUGAUAAACUUCAAAUACCACUCUUGUAAUUUCGUACUCUUUUAUUUUAGUAUCUUGUGGCUUAUAGUGUAUCAAAUUAGUACUAUGUGGUUUUAUUUUUCUCUUUUCGUCGGUUCUUUUGUUAAUAUUUCGUUAAAUUAUAUACAAUAAUUUCAAAUACCCAACCUAAGUUUAUCGAAUAUUCACUUUAUUAUCUUUAUUUUUAACUUUGUCACUGAUUUAAUGAAAAGAAAUUAGUGAAAUGGAUAAUAAAAAGAGAAAAAAAAAACUAUAGGGUACUAAAUUGAUACACUUUAAACUAUAUAGUACUAAAGUGAGAAAGUACGAAACCACAGGAUGGUAUUUGAAGUUUUUUCUUUACUACAUAGAGUUAAUUUCAUACGUGUUCGUACAAAUAUAGUGAAUUGCAAAUAUAUUCCUACAAAAUUCAACUUUUAUAUAUUGUUCCCGUAAAAGUCCUAAUAUUUUUAAAAAUAUGUCUAUCUGAUUUAUUGCAGUUAAAAUAUUAUUUAUUUUAUAAGUGAAAUGACAUUUUUGCUAUCACAAAUAUAUCCCUCCAAAAGUUCCAGCUAUAAAGAGAGAUAAAAAGGUCAAUUCAUCUUAUUAUAACUUAUGGUUAACUAAAUUUUUCUAAUGGAUUCUAACAACAGAGAUAUAUUUGAAAACAUCAUGAAUUUUGUAAGAACAGCAUAUGAAAAUUGAACUUUGUAGUAAUAUAUUUGUAAUUCAUUAUAUUUAUAGAAACAUGUAUGUACUUAACUCUAUCUUGUGUAUAUUUAUUAUUUAUUACUAUUUAUUACUAUAUAUUAAAGUGCGAGGAAUACUGUACGUUUAUUGAUACAUAUCCCGCCCAUAUACUCGGCGCACCUGGUGCAACGUAAUCCUAUAAAAAAUAUUAUUUUACAUAUCAAAUUUUCUGCCGUUAGAUCAGUUGCCCUUUUGACCAUUUUCACAUGUUAGAUCAUACUUUUCAACCAACGACCCACUCAACUCUGACUAAUAUCAUCCUAACCGUACAUCGCUUCAUAUAUAAUAUAGAUAUUUGAACUAUAACAAACAAAACACGAGCGAUCUGACCCCAAUUACUACCCAAUUACUACUCGACUCGUUAAGAUUUCGAGCUAAAUAAUAUUCGGCUUGUAUUAGGCUCGUUUAUUAACCGAGUGAUCCAUCUCGAACUCAUUUC